AACGCUGGCGGCCUGCUUAACACAUGCAAGUUCAACGGUGAAAGGGACCAGCUUCGCUGGUUCCGGAUGAGUCGGCGAACGGGUCGAGUAACACGCGAGUAACCUGCCUCCUUCUUUCUGGAUAACCGCAUGAAAGUCGUCGGCUAAUACGGGAUAUUCUGGGUCUGUCGCAUGACGGGCCCGGGAAAGAAGCGCCUUUGGGCGUUUUCGGUUGGGGGAUGGGCUCGCGGCCUAUCAGCUUGUUGGUGGGGUGAUGGCCUACCAAGGCGGUGACGGGUAGCCGGCCUGAGAGGGUGGACGGUCACACUGGGACUGAGACACGGCCCAGACUCCUACGGGAGGCAGCAGUGGGGAAUAUUGCACAAUGGGCGCAAGCCUGAUGCAGCGACGCCGCGUGAGGGAUGGAGGCCUUCGGGUUGUAAACCUCUUUCGCCAGUGAAGCAGGCCUGCUCCUUGUGGGUGGGUUGACGGUUGCUGGAUAAGAAGCGCCGGCUAACUACGUGCCAGCAGCCGCGGUAAUACGUAGGGCGCGAGCGUUGUCCGGAGUUAUUGGGCGUAAAGAGCUCGUAGGCGGCUGGUCGCGUCUGUCGUGAAAUCCUCUGGCUUAACUGGGGGCUUGCGGUGGGUACGGGCCGGCUUGAGUGCGGUAGGGGAGACUGGAACUCCUGGUGUAGCGGUGGAAUGCGCAGAUAUCAGGAAGAACACCGGUGGCGAAGGCGGGUCUCUGGGCCGUUACUGACGCUGAGGAGCGAAAGCGUGGGGAGCGAACAGGAUUAGAUACCCUGGUAGUCCACGCCGUAAACGUUGGGCACUAGGUGUGGGGGGCCUUUUCCGGGUCUUCCGCGCCGUAGCUAACGCAUUAAGUGCCCCGCCUGGGGAGUACGGCCGCAAGGCUAAAACUCAAAGGAAUUGACGGGGGCCCGCACAAGCGGCGGAGCAUGCGGAUUAAUUCGAUGCAACGCGAAGAACCUUACCAAGGCUUGACAUGUGCCGGUCGGCUCCGGAGACGGGGCUUCCUCCUUGUGGGGCCGGUUCACAGGUGGUGCAUGGUUGUCGUCAGCUCGUGUCGUGAGAUGUUGGGUUAAGUCCCGCAACGAGCGCAACCCUUGUCCCGUGUUGCCAGCACGUUGUGGUGGGGACUCGCGGGAGACUGCCGGGGUCAACUCGGAGGAAGGUGGGGAUGACGUCAAAUCAUCAUGCCCCUUAUGUCUUGGGCUUCACGCAUGCUACAAUGGCCGGUACAGAGGGCUGCGAUACCGUGAGGUGGAGCGAAUCCCUUAAAGCCGGUCUCAGUUCGGAUCGGUGUCUGCAACUCGACACCGUGAAGUUGGAGUCGCUAGUAAUCGCAGAUCAGCAACGCUGCGGUGAAUACGUUCUCGGGCCUUGUACACACCGCCCGUC
rnacentral:rRNA from 1 species